rfam:Citreicella sp. SE45 genomic scaffold scf_1113211290440, whole genome shotgun sequence.
CGCAUAUUUUGCGAUGAUCGAAGGCAGCAGCGGCAUCGCGUCGAGCGCUGCCUGAAAUGCUCGACCGCCGGUCGAAGUGACGGUCGGGUUCAUCCAUUGCCGGCAGGCGUUUGCAAGCAAACGCCGAGAAGGACGAUCAGCGUGAGGCGCACGGGGUCGAGCCGAUCUGCAGAGUUCUGCCGAUCGCCCCA